rnacentral:lncRNA from 1 species
CUUCUCCUUGUGAGCAGGAACAACUGUGUCAACCUUCUGAGGCUCCUGAGGAGGUGGAACCUUCUGGAAGCCAGGCAGAAGCUCCAGUUCAAAUUGAACAUCCCCUGGAAGGAGUCAGAGUUCCAGUUCAGAAAGACAGUGAAGCUCCAGAGGCCCCUCUGUAGAGUACAGGUGAAAUCCCACCACUUCAGGAAGUGACACUGCAACCUCCAGGUCAGGUUCUAGCUCUUGCUCAUAACUUUUCUAAUGUGACAGGUAGGCCAGCAGAUGUGGAGGUUACAAAAACUUCAGAGCCCAUUGAAGAGGUUGAAUCUUCUCCAGUCCAGCAGGAGGCCCCAUCUCAGCCUCCAGGCUCUCCUACGGAGCCUGAUUCUUCUCCUAGUGAGCAAGAGCAGCCAUUUUCAACUUCUGAGGCUCCUGAGGAAGUGGAAACUUCUGGAAGCCAGCUGGAAGCUCUGCCUCAGACUGAAAAUCCCUUGGAGAAAGUCAAAUCUCCAGUCCAGGAAGAUACUCCAGCUCUAGAAACCCCUUUAGGGAGUAUAGGUGAAACUCCAUCACAUCAUGAAGUAACAAUUUCAACCACAGGUCAUCAUCAUUAUAAGCAUUCACACUCACCCAAGCUGACAGUGAACCCUCCAGAACUACAGCUCACCAUAAUGCCAGAACCCCCUGCCAAGGAAGGCCCCCUGGUGUCCUCAAUUACUUCUACAGAAGCUGGAAAAUCUAUCAAGGAAGAAGGAGCGUGA